CGUGUGCUCCACAAGAAGCAUAAUUGUGCUUCCGAAAAAAGGGGAAAGCACAACUGUGCUUCCGUGAGAAUCACAACUGUGCUUUUUGAAAAGGCAAAAACAUAACUGUGUUUCCCUCAAAAAAGUGAGAAGCAGAACUAUGCUUUCGGAUUCAUGUUUUUUUCCUGCUUUUGGUCUUUUUUUUUGUUUUCCUUUUUUCCCCUUUUUUUCGAUUCAGGGUAUUUGUUGAGUGUAUUCAUGAAAAAAAAAAGUUCGUUGAAACCUAUUUACAUGGGAUCUAGUUUUAAAGAUUUCAAACGAGAAAUUGAAUGGCGAAAACAGUUCGUGAUUUGGAUGGACGAUUUAAUAGAUAAAAUAUUUAAAAAAAUCUACAGAAAAGGAUAAAAGAACCGGGCCUUGACACGAGAGAAAGUGUGAAUGACCUUUGUAAGAGGUGUCCCUGAAUUAGUGAUUUGAAGGAACCAACACUUAAGAUGCGAAUAAGAAAACACGCUUCUCCUGUUGCUUGGACUUUAUUUAGGAGAAAAACAUAGCUUUAUAACUUAAUUGUACUCAGGCAAAUCGCCCGCAGCACAAGCAAUCAGACUCCCACAUCACAGAGUGGUUUGGUUCACACAUUUAACUAGUAGUUACUAAGCUCCCAAGAAUUACUCACAUGUGGUGCAUCGCGGGCGGCUACAGCGGCGAUUGGCCCACGCUAUCUUUGCGUCCUUGGGUGUGGGAAGAUUGAUUGGCCCAGGCGCUGAACCAGUUGCCGUGAGAAUAGGUGCAGCUGGCCGCAGAUUUCGGAAGCCAGCGGACACGCACAAGAGGAGUGCCAUCUGCCGCCGGUCGGAGUAUGUGCGUGCCAGGUUCAAGGCCAGCAUGCGCCCCCUCGGCGUCGACCACAUCACCAUCUCCAUCGAGGACAGAGUCUCUUCUUAGCUCCCACCCCUUUCUUGAUUAAGCCCUCCAUCCUGUUAAUUUCAAUACAUGAGAAUCCCUCUGUUUAAUUGGGGUGAUUCCUUGCUAUAUUUGUUGUGGACUCGUGAGAUGAAUAAGCUGCUAUAGAAGGGGAAUGUCAGGUACAUUUGGGUUAUCGGUGACGAGCCCCGACACCAUCAGGCGUGCUCAUGCCGUGCACGCAAUCUCUGCCGUGGAGAUGGACUGGUCUCUGUGGUCUCUCUACAGAUAAUUAGGGAUUGGAAUUGUUCCCUACAACACAAUUGCGCAUGGAUUGUUUGGUGGAAGGGGAGUGGCAUAACAAGUGUGUCUGCUGAAUCAAAUCUGAAAGGCCGUCCACCUUUUUAAGCAGAAAACCUGGAGAAGAACAAGCAACUUUAUUUGAAAAUGGAAGAACUAGCCAAUAAGCACCAAUGCAGCCCUACUCAGCAAGCCAUCUUGGAUUCUGUAGCAAGGGGGUGAUGUUGUUCCAUUGCUAGGUUAAUGCCGUGUCCUUCUCAUUUCACUGAUGUCACAUGGUCGUAAACAUGUGCAAUGAUUUUGCCGAGUUCUCACUUCACAUAACAGGCAAAUAAAUUGAAGAUAGUCUUGCUUGCAUAACAUACAGAGAGAGGUAUUUGAAGUGAACCUAGCUAUCUUUGGCAGACUAAACAUAAUAGGGAAUACCACGGCAAUAUGAAAACCCUCCUUGAGAUGUUGUCCUUUUCUCUAUAGUGUGUGCCAUGGUAAUAAUUUUGAACUAGCAUUACUGCCUUGGAGGCAAAAGGACCUCUUUCUCUGCUUCCAAGUUCCAAGCAAAUACAUCAAUACUGAAGCUCACUUUUCGAGUAGACUAGCAUUGUAUCACUGACAAAUAUGUUGUACUCUGGGACAACUAAGAUGAAGAAUCUACAUUUAAUCUUAUGCUGGCUCUUCUGAUGUAUUUAUCCAUGGUGCUUAUUGAUUGUAGGUGUAACAUAUCUACAUGGAUUAUAUGGCAUUAUAAUUCUAUUUGAUCUUAAGAUUGCUCUUCUGAUGUAUUUAUCCAUGGAGCUUAUUUCUCUUAUGUUGGCUUUUUUUGUCCACUGAAUCUCUUGGAUAUAAACUGCCUGCACAUGCAUAGUGUGAUUUUUUUACUGAUUU